UGGCCAUGAUCAACUUGAAGAGACUACAGUAGGACUUAGUUUCCACAAUGAAUAUUUGAAGUCUCAGUUUGUGGAUAUGAAGAAAGAUUCUUGAUUCUGGCAAGCCUGGAAAACGAAAUAAAGUUGUGGAGCUAGACCAUUUGGCAUCCAAUAAUGAUGUCAGAGAGCUUCAUGAAAAAUUAGAAUCUUCGAAAAGAGAACUUCUAGAGGAAAGACAAACUCAGGGUACUGUAGAGGAACCUUUAAAACAUCUUGGAGCAGCACACUCAGAGGCAUAUACAAAUGUUCAAGAGCUUUCUACCUAAGUUGCUGAAGGU
rnacentral:lncRNA from 1 species